rnacentral:siRNA from 1 species
GAGUACACGGUCGCCGGACGCCG